UAAGCAAGCAACGUUUUCACGACGACGGCGACGCCAUUUCUCGGUUUAGACUGGGACGAGCAUAAUUAUGCACGUCUUCCCGCCGUCGCGGUCUUGUCCAAGACCUGAAAAUUUGAUUUUGACGUUGUGGCUAAAACGUUUUAUAGUACCAGAUGGCAACCGCAAGUGCUGCUUCGAAGUCCAUUUGUACAACAACAAAACCCAUGAAAUGGACUGAAUCACAUGAUAUACUUUUGGCAAGAGAGGUUUUAGUAUCAAGUAUAUAUGAGAUCAGAAAU
rnacentral:lncRNA from 1 species